UAGAAGAAUGAAGAAAAAAAAAAAAAAAACACUGUUUGAAAGAAAUGUAGAAAGAUCAACGCAGAAUAAUAGGAAACAAAAAAUAAAAGCUAGGGUUUGAAGGCCUAAAAAAGGGAGUCCAUGGGAAGUUACAGAGAGAACAGACAGUUUGUCUGUGAGUUUCUCUGGAUUAUUUCCUUCUGUUUGGAGGUUAGUUUAGCGACGAAG
rnacentral:misc_RNA from 1 species